rnacentral:antisense_RNA from 1 species
CAGCAUGGAGAGCAGAGCGCAAAGAUUUCCUCCAGACUCCCACAUUCUCCCUUGGAAUCCAAGAACUUGUCUACUAUCACAACACUUUAGUACCCACUUCUCCUAAGGAGGCAGCAGAAACCAAGGUAAUCACAAUGGUCAACAGCAGCGAAGGCAGCACUUUCUGAUUUUAAACUUGACUGCUAUGGAUGCCACCUCAGUUUAAUAUCUGUAAGUUUGCUUUUUCAGGUGCUCAGGAGGAGAAGGUGAACUGGCUGUGUGUAGUAUGGUAAAUAAAGGGGCCGGGCUACCUUUCAGAGGUUUGGCACACUGAGUGACUUAUGUCCUGACCAGAGACCUGGGCUAGGAACUUCGCCCCACAGCCUGGAUGCCUGGGACCUUGGUCCGAUUUGCAAACAACAGCUCCAUAUGAAGAAGCUUUGUCACAAUAGUUAUAAUUAUAGCAACCAUCCAGAGGAUGCUGCAUCCUAAAUAUCCCUCAGCAGUAAUCCAGGACCUGAAUGCCUAUGAAGUUCACUCCUUUGGCCCCACUCCCUUCCUGCUGCCUUUGGGCUCUCCUCAUGUGACUCUGCCUGUUGAAACUGUCUGCUAGCCGGCCCAGCAUCUCCAGGCAUGGCCUCACUCAUCUAUCUCUCUCUUGCCGAAGGUCUCCUCAUGUAACACAUGAUUCCUUUAGAUGGUCCUUCAUCACUAGCAAGAUGAAACCUAAAUUCAUUGGCAUGGUAGACAAGACUCUAG